GGGGACGCGUGGCUUCGACAGGGGAAGGCUUGGCGGAAUUGCAGGCCGAGGUGCCGUCACACCUCGUAAAACAGGCGGCAAAAGAGUAACUGGCGAGCCUCAACUCGCACUGGCUGCCUAAAGCGCGGCCACGUCCGCUCCUCCGUCCCCCGAACGGAGGAACCGGGCGCCAUUAAGUCGGGGUGCGGCUGCCCUGGCGCCGAGAGGGGCCGCUUAAGAGCAUCGGCUGGCUGGGCUUCUUCGCCGCCGGCGGAGGGGGAGCCUGGCGAGAACUCAAGCACCGGCUAAGCCUGUAGCAUAUUCCAGCGAGGCCUCUUCUGGACGGGGGGUUCGACUCCCCCCCGUCUCCACCA
rnacentral:tmRNA from 1 species